CAAUAGCGUAUAUUAAAGUUGUUGCAGUUAAAAAGCUCGUAGUUGGAUCUGUGGUGUGCGGUGGGCUCCGGGCACUUGUUGUCUGAGUAGCUCGCCGCUGCCAUCCUUGGGUGGAACCUGUGUGGCAUUAGGUUGUCGUGCAGGGGAUGCCCAUCGUUUACUGUGAAAAAAUUAGAGUGUUCAAAGCAGGCUUAUGCCGUUGAAUAUAUUAGCAUGGAAUAAUGGGAUAGGACUUUUUCGCUAUUUUGUUGGUUUGCGCGAAGAGGUAAUGAUUAAUAGGGACAGUUGGGGGUAUUCGUAUUCCAUUGUCAGAGGUGAAAUUCUUGGAUUUUUGGAAGACGAACUACUGCGAAAGCAUUUACCAAGGAUGUUUUCAUUAA
rnacentral:rRNA from 1 species